rnacentral:rRNA from 1 species
GGCUCAGGACGAACGCUGGCGGCGUGCCUAACACAUGCAAGUCAGGGAGAAAGAGGUAGCAAUAUCUUGAGUAAACCGGCGAACGGGUGAGUAACACGUAAGCAACCUUCCUUAUGAACGGGAAUAACCCCGCGAAAGCGGGGCUAAUACCCGAUGACAUUUCGGUGCAGCAUUACACUGAACUCAAAGGCUCCAAAAGAGCGUCAUAAGAUGGGCUUGCGUCCCAUUAGAUAGUUGGCGGGGUAACGGCCCACCAAGUCGACGAUGGGUAGCUGGUCAGAGAGGACGAUCAGCCACACUGGAACUGAGACACGGUCCAGACUUCUACGGAAGGCAGCAGUGAGGAAUAUUGCUCAAUGGGCGAAAGCCUGAAGCAGCGACGCCGCGUGAGGGAUGAAAUCCGUUAGGAUGUAAACCUCUUUUGCAGGGGAUGAAUGUCCCGACUUGUCGGGAUUGACCGUACCCUGUGAAUAAGCACCGGCCAACUACGUGCCAGCAGCCGCGGUGAUACGUAGGGUGCAAGCGUUGUCCGGAAUUACUGGGUGUAAAGGGUCCGCAGGCGGGCAGACAAGUCGGUGGUGAAAGCUCUUCGCUUAACGGAGAGACUGCCAUCGAUACUGUUUGUCUUGAGUUCGAGAGAGGAUGAUGGAAUUCAUGGUGUAGCGGUGAAAUGCGUAGAGAUCAUGAAGAACACCGGUAGCGAAGGCGGUCAUCUGGCUCGAUACUGACGCUCAGGGACGAAAGCGUGGGUAGCAAACAGGAUUAGAUACCCUGGUAGUCCACGCCUUAAACGAUGGAUAUUCGGUGUCGGUCCGCAAGGAUCGGUGCCUGAGCCAACGCGUUAAAUAUCCCACCUGGGGAGUACGAUCGCAAGGGUGAAACUCAAAU